rnacentral:misc_RNA from 1 species
GAUGAAGAACGCAGCGAAAUGCGAUAAGUAAUGUGAAUUGCAGAUUUCAGUGAAUCAUCGAAUCUUUGAACGCACAUUGCGCCCACCAGUAUUCUGGCGGGCAUGCCUGUUCGAGCGUCAUUUCAACCCUCAAGCCCCAGCGGCCUGGUGUUGGGGACCGGCGACCUCGCCCGAGCCCGCCCUCCGGGGCGCGUGCCCGGUGCGUCCGCCGCCCCCGAAAUGAAUUGGCGGCCUCGUCGCGGCCUCCUCUGCGUAGUAGCACAACCUCGCAAGCGGGAGCGCGACGCGGCCACUGCCGUAAAACGCCCAACUUUUUUAGAGUUGACCUCGGAUCAGGUAGGAAUACCCGCUGAACUUAAGCAUAUCAAUAAGCGGAGGA